UGUGUACUCCCUCCGUUCCAAAAUACUUGACUUCCAUUUGUCCAAAAAUGGAUGUACCUAUAUACUAAGACAUGUCUAGAUACAUAUAUAUUUUGACAAAUAGAAGGCAUGUAUUGUGGAACGGAGGGAGUAGAAU
rnacentral:pre_miRNA from 1 species